CAAGUCGAACGGGUGAGGGGGCAACUCCUCAUCAGUGGCGCACGGGUGCGUAACACGUGGGUAAUCAACCCUUGACUGGGACAACCCGGGGAAACUCGGGCUAAUACCGGAUGUGGCGCAGUGGACUUCGGCCCGCUGCGCGAAAGCCUCGCAAGGGGCACCAGAGGACGAGCCCGCGGCCCAUCAGCUAGUUGGUGAGGUAAUGGCUCACCAAGGCGAAGACGGGUAGCUGGUCUGAGAGGAUGAUCAGCCACACUGGAACUGAGACACGGUCCAGACUCCUACGGGAGGCAGCAGUGGGGAAUAUUGCGCAAUGGGCGAAAGCCUGACGCAGCCACGCCGCGUGAGCGAUGAAGGUCUUCGGAUCGUAAAGCUCUGUGGGGGGAGAAGAAUCAAGCCGGUGAAGAGCCGGCCCUGACGGUAUCCCCUUAGCAAGCACCGGCUAACUCCGUGCCAGCAGCCGCGGUAA
rnacentral:rRNA from 1 species